AGUGAACGCUGGCGGCGUGCCUAAUACAUGCAAGUCGAACGGAGUGGCGCACGGGUGAGUAAUGUAUAGCUAAUCUGCCCUACACUAGAGGACAAAAGUUGGAAACGACUGCUAAUACUCUAUAGUGUAGGAUGAGGCUAUAUUGUAUCAGCUAGUUGGUGAGGUAAUGGCUCACGAAGGCUAUGACGCAUAACUGGUCUGAGAGGAUGAUCAGUAACACUGGAACGGAGACACGGUUCAGGAGCCUACGGGAGGCAGCAGUAGGGAAUAUUGCUAAAUGGGGGAAACCCUGAAGCAGCAUCGCCGCGGGGAGGAUGACAAUUUGCGGAGCGUAAACUCCUUUUGUUAGGGAAGCGGUACCCAACGAAUAAGCACCGGCUAACUCCGUGCCAGCAGCCGCGGUAAUAC
rnacentral:rRNA from 1 species